GGGGCUGUAGCUCAGCGGCAGAGAGCUUGCCUAACAUGCAUGAGGCACUGGGUUCGAUCCUCAGCACCACA
rnacentral:tRNA from 1 species